rnacentral:rRNA from 1 species
AUUGAACGCUGGCGGCAGGCCUAACACAUGCAAGUCGAACGGUAACAGGAAGAAGCUUGCUUCUUUGCUGACGAGUGGCGGACGGGUGAGUAAUGUCUGGGAAACUGCCUGAUGGAGGGGGAUAACUACUGGAAACGGUAGCUAAUACCGCAUAACGUCGCAAGACCAAAAAGGGGGACCUUCGGGCCUCUUGCCAUCGGAUGUGCCCAGAUGGGAUUAGCUAGUAGGUGGGGUAACGGCUCACCUAGGCGACGAUCCCUAGCUGGUCUGGGAGGAUGACCAGCCACACUGGAACUGAGACACGGUCCAGACUCCUACGGGAGGCAGCAGUGGGGAAUAUUGCACAAUGGGCGCAGGCCUGAUGCAGCCAUGCCGCGUGUAUGAAGAAGGCCUUCGGGUUGUAAAGUACUUUCAGCGGGGAGGAAGGGAGUAAAGUUAAUACCUUUGCUCAUUGACGUUACCCGCAGAAGAAGCACCGGCUAACUCCGUG